rnacentral:misc_RNA from 1 species
AACCUUAUGGACCUGCGGGCGUAUACCUGCGGAGGGAUCAUUACCGAGUUUACAACUCCCAAACCCAUGUGAACAUACCUAUCGUUGCUUCGGCGGAUCGCCCCGGGCGCCUUGCGUGCCCCGGAUCCAGGCGGCCGCCGGGGGACCUUAACUCUUGUUUUUACUGAGAAUCUUCUGAGUCGUUUUUACAAAUAAAUAAAAACUUUCAACAAUGGAUCU